AGUUAAAGGAGGAGUUUCUACCCAUUCUGGGUGUACAUACCUUGACAUUUCUGGCACAGAAUUCGACUUCUUAGAACGAGAAGAAGCUUCUUAGAACGAGAAGAAGCUAACGGUCCGUCAUUCUUAGAAUCUCGGGCACACUGGUAUCACGCAGACUUUAUUUAUUUAUUUAAGUUAAAGGACCUAAACAGUCGAUCAUCAUGACUGUCGUUGGCUGCAACAAGUGUAUCAAAUUCAUGCUGUUUUUCUUUAAUUUCGUUUUCUGGUUGGCUGGAGGUGUGAUCUUGGGAGUGGCUCUAUGGCUUCGUCAUGACAACCAGACCAGCAGUCUCCUCAUGCAGCAGUUUGAAGGCCAGCAGGCUCCAAACACCUUCUAUAUCAGUAAGUAACCAUGAUCCCUGU